AAGGAUCAUUACAAAUCCGUGAGUUUGGGCGUGUUGGUUGGUGGUGGUGGUAGUGGGUUAAUUAAUCGUUAACUCCUUCUGCUGCUCACAGCCCCCGCCUGAAUGAACACAUUGGCUCAAGGCCUUCUGGCUUUGAUGUUUACGCUUGUUUGUUUGACAGAGUAAAAUGUGACUAAAUAUAUACAACUUUUAACAAUGGAUCUCUUGGCUCUU
rnacentral:misc_RNA from 1 species